rnacentral:rRNA from 1 species
CCUACGGGGGGCAGCAGCAAGGAAUUUUCCGCAAUGGGCGCAAGCCUGACGGAGCAACGCCGCGUGCGGGAUGACGCUUUUCGGAGUGUAAACCGCUGUUCGUGGGGACGAAGCACUGACGGUACCCACGGAGGAAGGCCCGGCUAACUACGUGCCAGCAGCCGCGGUAAUACGUAGGGGUCGAGCGUUGUCCGGAGUUACUGGGCGUAAAGCGCGUGCAGGUGGCCCAUUACGCCCGGCGUGAAAGCCCCCGGCCUAACCGGGGAGGGUCGUCGGGGACGGAUGGGCUUGAGGGUCGCAGGGGCUGGUGGAAUUCCCGGUGUAGUGGUGAAAUGCGUAGAGAUCGGGAGGAACACCCGUGGCGAAGGCGGCCAGCUGGGCGAGCCCUGACACUGAGACGCGAAGGCGUGGGGAGCGAACGGGAUUAGAUACCCCUGUAG